rnacentral:rRNA from 1 species
UACGUAGGCGAGAAAUUAAGUCAGUAGUGAAAUCCCACAGCUUAACUGUGGAACUGUUAUUGAUACUGGUUUUCUUGAAUAUAGUUGAGGUAGGCGGAAUGUGUAAUGUAGCGGUGAAAUGCUUAGAUAUUACACAGAACACCGAUUGCGAAGGCAGCUUACUAAGCUAUGAUUGACGCUGAGGUACGAAAGCGUGGGGAGCGAACAGGAUUAGAUACCCUGGUAGUCC